AGGAAGGUAGUGUAGUUAACACCUGCACUAUUUGACGUUACCUACAGAAGAAGCACCGGCUAACUCCGUGCCAGCAGCCGCGGUAAUACGGAGGGUGCGAGCGUUAAUCGGAAUUACUGGGCGUAAAGCGCAUGCAGGCGGCCUGUUAAGUCAGAUGUGAAAGACCCGGGGCGUUAACCUCGGAAUUGCAUUUGUAAACUGGCAGGCUAGAGUCUUGUAGAGGGGGGUAGGAAUUUCAGGUGUAGCGGUGAAAUGCGUAGAGAUCUGAAGGAAUACCAGUGGCGAAGGCGGCCCCCUCGGACAAAGACUGACGCUCAGAUGCGAAAGCGUGGGGAGCAAACAGGAUUAGAUACCCUGGUAG
rnacentral:rRNA from 1 species